CUGCAGGCUUGAAGAGAGAGGGCAGGAAAUUGUUCAAGUGUUGCUUCUAUGAGGAUGAGAAACUGCCGGCCCAGACUGACCAUGGUAUGCUUUUGUUUGUUACAGGACAUUCAUCCGUUCUACGCCGAUUUGAUGAAUAUUCUGUACGGCAAAGAUCACUACAAGUUGGCUCUGGGGCAAAUAAAUAUUGCCAAAAAUUUAGUGGCCAAUGUUGCUAAAGAUUACGUGCGGUUGAUGAAGUACGGUGACUCUCUGUACCGCUGCAAGCAGCUGAAGCGUGUGGCCCUGGGGCGGAUGUGCACCGUGAUCAAGAGGCAGAGGCAGAGUCUGGAGUAUUUGGAGCAAGUACGUCAGCAUUGAUCCCGUUUGCCAACCAUUGAUCCGAAUACCAGGACUCUGCUUUUGUGUGGGUACCCAAAUGUUGGCAAGUCCAGCUUCAUCAAUAAGGUUGGUCUGCUUUUUAUUGUAAAGCAAAUCCUCUGGCCAUUUUACAUCAUUGCUACUAUAUUCUGACUGCGUGGGAUUCAGAAUGGCCUUGGUCAUAAUUUUGGCCUCCGAGUUGGUCCUUUAGUAAAUACUCCCCUGGUCUGCAGGAGGCCCCAGUGCCUGAGUACAUCUGAGUUCCCUUGGAGAGGAUUGUCUUUGUCUGUAUCUAGAUUUAUGUUACGAUUACAGAAACCAUUGCUUUUGGUUCUUGCGUGCCCUAUAAUUUCUAAGGAAUUUGAGAUGUGUAAGUGCAUUUUUGUUGACAACUGGAGAGUUUUUGUGGGUGUUGUUGACCUGCCCUGGAAUGGCGACGUCAGAUGGGCUCCAGCGGCAGAGGACACUCCGAGCUGGGGUCUGCCCAUCUGCAGCUGCCUCUGGGUGAUCUUGACACACCUUGGUUGCUGUGUCAACUUUCACGUGAAAUAGUAUGUGGUCCAGCAGAGGGGCAAGGUGCCUUGUCUCUUUUUCCUUGGGUGUACUCACUGACUAGGAUUCAAGUGUCACAUUUAAGGGACUCAGUCAUUUAGUGCUUCAGGACAAUUUGGCUGAGUUUGAGGGACCCAGGAAGAGGCAAAGCAACUUUAAAAUGUGAAUUUACAACCAGCCACAGCUCAUGUGCCAAGAAAAUUGUCAAAUUUUAUGGCCUACUCAGUGCCAAGAUCCCUAUAUUUUUAAUUAAAAAAAAAUUUUAUCUUUUUUUUUUUGGAGACGGAGUUUCGCUCUUGUCACCCAGGCUGGAGUGCAAUGGCACGAUCUCGGCUCACUGCAACCUCCACCUCCUGGGUUCAGGCAAUUCUCCUGCGUCAGCCUCCUGAGUAGCUGGGAUUACAGGCACACGCCACCAUGCCCAGCUAAUUUUUUGUAUUUUUAGUAGAGAU
rnacentral:lncRNA from 1 species